AGAGUUUGAUCAUGGCUCAGAUUGAACGCUGGCGGCGUGCCUAACACAUGCAAGUCGAUCGGUAACAGGUGUAGCAAUACAUGCUGACGAGAGGCGGACGGGUGAGUAACGCUUGGGAAUCUGCCUAUUAGUGGGGGACAACCCGGGGAAACUCGGGCUAAUACCGCAUACGCUCUACGGAGGAAAGCCGGGGACCGCAAGGCCUGGCGCUAAUAGAUGAGCCCAAGUCGGAUUAGCUAGUUGGUAGGGUAAAGGCCUACCAAGGCGACGAUCUGUAGCGGGUCUGAGAGGAUGAUCCGCCACACUGGGACUGAGACACGGCCCAGACUCCUACGGGAGGCAGCAGUGGGGAAUAUUGGACAAUGGGCGAAAGCCUGAUGCAGCAACGCCGCGUGCACGAUGAAGGUCUUCGGAUCGUAAAGUGCUUUUCUGGGAGAUGAGAAUGGACAGUAUCCCAGGAAUAAGUCUCGGCUAACUACGUGCCAGCCGCCGCGGUAA
rnacentral:rRNA from 1 species